UACAGAGGGUGCGAGCGUUAAUCGGAAUUACUGGGCGUAAAGCGUGCGUAGACGGUCAAGUAAGUCGGGUGUGAAAGCCCUCGGCUCAACCGAGGAAGUGCGCCCGAAACUGCAUGGCUUGAGUACCGGAGAGGAUGGCGGAAUUCCCCAAGUAGAGGUGAAAUUCGUAGAUAUGGGGAGGAACACCGGUGGCGAAGGCGGCCAUCUGGACGGAUACUGACGCUGAGACGCGAAAGCGUGGGGAGCAAACAGG
rnacentral:rRNA from 1 species